rnacentral:rRNA from 1 species
AGUGAACGCUGGCGGUAGGCCUAACACAUGCAAGUCGAACGGCAGCACAGUAAGAGCUUGCUCUUACGGGUGGCGAGUGGCGGACGGGUGAGGAAUAAAUCGGAAUCUACUUUUUCGUGGGGGAUAACGUAGGGAAACUUACGCUAAUACCGCAUACGACCUACGGGUGAAAGCAGGGGAUCUUCGGACCUUGCGCGAUUGAAUGAGCCGAUGUCGGAUUAGUUAGUUGGCGGGGUAAAGGCCCACCAAGGCGACGAUCCGUAGCUGGUCUGAGAGGAUGAUCAGCCACACUGGAACUGAGACACGGUCCAGACUCCUACGGGAGGCAGCAGUGGGGAAUAUUGGACAAUGGGCGCAAGCCUGAUCCAGCCAUACCGCGUGGGUGAAGAAGGCCUUCGGGUUGUAAAGCCCUUUUGUUGGGAAAGAAAAGCAGCAGGUUAAUACCCCGCUGUUCUGACGGUACCCAAAGAAUAAGCACCGGCUAACUUCGUG